rfam:Triticum aestivum genome assembly, contig: Triticum_aestivum_CS42_TGACv1_scaffold_577386_7BL
UAUGUACUCCCUCCGUCCCAAAAUUAUUGUCUAAGAUUUGUUUAGAUACGGAUGUAUCUAAUACUAAAUCAUAACUAGAUACAUCUGUAUUUAGACAAAUCUAAGACAAGAAUUUUGAGACGGAGGGAGUAUAUU